rnacentral:lncRNA from 1 species
CAUCUGAUCAUAUAAAUACUUUUUGGUAAAAACCUCUUUCCAUAAUACAUCUUCUAUUGUCUUGUUCCUUCAGCACCUUCUACAAUAUCAGAUAUACCCGUAUGACAGCAUGUUACUAGGUGUCUACUGGACCAUAUGUAACACGUCUCAGACUUUUAUCGACAGUAGAUUGAAUUGUCUCCAUUGAUCAAAUUCAAGAGUGAAAUUCCACAGAAUUGAGGAAACUACUCAUGAGAGAUUCUGUUCAACACGCACAUCACUGGAUUCAUCUACCAAACAUAUGAAUAUAAUUGUAUCUAUUUAUAAGAACAAAGCUUCUACUUGAGGAAGUGGUCUGGUUUUGAAAAAUAUCUCCCAAUCACCAGCUUAUUCCAUAACUAGAAUGAAGUGACAAAACCGAAGCAUGGGGGAAAAAAGAAAAACAACUAAGUGCCAUGCUCAUCAAAAUUAAUAUGGGAAAACCCAUCCAAUAUUUGUAACCAAUAAAC